rnacentral:rRNA from 1 species
UACGUAGGGUCCGAGCGUUGUCCGGAAUUAUUGGGCGUAAAGGGCUCGUAGGCGGUCUGUUGCGUCGGGAGUGAAAACUUACAGCUUAACUGUGAGCGUGCUUUCGAUACGGGCAGACUUGAGGCAUUCAGGGGAGAACGGAAUUCCUGGUGUAGCGGUGAAAUGCGCAGAUAUCAGGAGGAACACCGGUGGCGAAGGCGGUUCUCUGGGAAUGUACUGACGCUGAGGAGCGAAAGUGUGGGGAGCGAACAGG